rnacentral:rRNA from 1 species
UGCAGUCGAGCGGACAGAUGGGAGCUUGCUCCCUGAUGUUAGCGGCGGACGGGUGAGUAACACGUGGGUAACCUGCCUGUAAGACUGGGAUAACUCCGGGAAACCGGGGCUAAUACCGGAUGCUUGUUUGAACCGCAUGGUUCAAACAUAAAAGGUGGCUUCGGCUACCACUUACAGAUGGACCCGCGGCGCAUUAGCUAGUUGGUGAGGUAACGGCUCACCAAGGCGACGAUGCGUAGCCGACCUGAGAGGGUGAUCGGCCACACUGGGACUGAGACACGGCCCAGACUCCUACGGGAGGCAGCAGUAGGGAAUCUUCCGCAAUGGACGAAAGUCUGACGGAGCAACGCCGCGUGAGUGAUGAAGGUUUUCGGAUCGUAAAGCUCUGUUGUUAGGGAAGAACAAGUGCCGUUCAAAUAGGGCGGCACCUUGACGGUACCUAACCAGAAAGCCACGGCUAACUACGUGCCAGCAGCCGCGGUAAUACGUAGGUGGCAAGCGUUGUCCGGAAUUAUUGGGCGUAAAGGGCUCGCAGGCGGUUUCUUAAGUCUGAUGUGAAAGCCCCCGGCUCAACCGGGGAGGGUCAUUGGAAACUGGGGAACUUGAGUGCAGAAGAGGAGAGUGGAAUUCCACGUGUAGCGGUGAAAUGCGUAGAGAUGUGGAGGAACACCAGUGGCGAAGGCGACUCUCUGGUCUGUAACUGACGCUGAGGAGCGAAAGCGUGGGGAGCGAACAGGAUUAGAUACCCUGGUAGUCCACGCCGUAAACGAUGAGUGCUAAGUGUUAGGGGGUUUCCGCCCCUUAGUGCUGCAGCUAACGCAUUAAGCACUCCGCCUGGGGAGUACGGUCGCAAGACUGAAACUCAAAGGAAUUGACGGGGGCCCGCACAAGCGGUGGAGCAUGUGGUUUAAUUCGAAGCAACGCGAAGAACCUUACCAGGUCUUGACAUCCUCUGACAAUCCUAGAGAUAGGACGUCCCCUUCGGGGGCAGAGUGACAGGUGGUGCAUGGUUGUCGUCAGCUCGUGUCGUGAGAUGUUGGGUUAAGUCCCGCAACGAGCGCAACCCUUGAUCUUAGUUGCCAGCAUUCAGUUGGGCACUCUAAGGUGACUGCCGGUGACAAACCGGAGGAAGGUGGGGAUGACGUCAAAUCAUCAUGCCCCUUAUGACCUGGGCUACACACGUGCUACAAUGGGCAGAACAAAGGGCAGCGAAACCGCGAGGUUAAGCCAAUCCCACAAAUCUGUUCUCAGUUCGGAUCGCAGUCUGCAACUCGACUGCGUGAAGCUGGAAUCGCUAGUAAUCGCGGAU